GGGAACCUCCAGUGUACGGGUUAUCGCGCCAGCGGUAAACGCCCGGUAGCUGUGUUCCAAGUGGAUAAGUGCUGAAAGCAUAUAAGUACGAAGCCCACCGUAAGAUGAGUUCUCUUUUGACACAAGUCAGUAAGUCCCCUUGCAGAUUACGAGGUUGAUAGGACACAGGUAGAAGAAUGGCAACAUUUGUAGCCGAGUGUUACUAAUAGGACGAGGGCUUUUCCUG
rnacentral:rRNA from 1 species